GUGAGGAAUAUUGCGCAAUGGAGGCAACUCUGACGCAGCCAUGCCGCGUGCAGGAAGAAGGCGCUACGCGUUGUAAACUGCUUUUAACCGGGAAGAAACCCCAGGACGUGUCCUGGGUUGACGGUACCGGAGGAAUAAGCACCGGCUAACUUCGUGCCAGCAGCCGCGGUAAUACGAAGGGUGCAAGCGUUAUCCGGAUUCAUUGGGUUUAAAGGGUGCGUAGGCGGAGCGUUAAGUCAGUGGUGAAAUCCUGCAGCUUAACUGUAGACUUGCCAUUGAUACUGGCGCUCUUGAGUGCGCUUGAAGGGGGCGGAAUGUGCCGUGUAGCGGUGAAAUGCUUAGAUAUGGCACAGAACACCAAUUGCGAAGGCAGCUCACUAAGGCGAUACUGACGCUGAGGCACGAAAGCGUGGGGAUCGAACAGGAUUAGAUACCCGAGUAGUCC
rnacentral:rRNA from 1 species